rnacentral:tRNA from 1 species
GCCCGUAGCUCAAUUGGAUAGAGCGUUUGACUACGGAUCAAAAGGUUAGGGGUUCGAAUCCCGAACGGGUC